rnacentral:lncRNA from 1 species
UCAAGACUGAACAGGAAGAGCUGAACUUAAGUGUGUCGCUCAGCAAACGUUUGGUGAAUGACGAAUCGUUGGAUGUUUGCUUUACGUCCACCUUCCAAGACCCCGUUGUUUCCAAAACGACAACCGGCACAUAGCCUGGCGUGCUGCCAAGAAAUGCGGAGCAGAGACCAUGGAGAGCGUACGGUGGCUGAGGAAACUGGUUCACGAGCUCUCCACUCGUCAGCGAAGGAAGAGACUACCCCUUCUGGACCCGGAGAAAUAAAGCAUUUCUGGAUGCCAAUCCAGUGCUCUCUCCAUAACCUUUAUUCAAAAAGCAUUUGAGAACCAAAGAGCUGUACGGGUGGGUACCCAAGGAGUAGAUGCUAAACAAAUGAAGUUUCUGUAGGAAGCAGCACGAUAAGAAGGAACCGCACAGACUCGAGAGAUUUCAGUUCAUACCGCGGUUUGGCGCUUAGGAACUGAGUCAUCAUAAGAAAACCUACUUGCUAGUGCCAGUUUUCUAGGCUGCUUUUGCUUAAAAGUAUAUUAUUCUACUUUAUCUCCAAGACAAGAACUCUUACUGGUUUGUAGUCACUUCCAAGAAAUCUGUAAGAGGUCUGCAGUACAUACACUAUGUUCAUUUAUCUUAACUUUAAAGUUAUUUAAAAGAAUGUACUAAAUUUCCUGUUACUCUAAUAACAUUUGAUCUAUUCUUAACAUAAUGGCACAUGGCCUUGCCUUCAUGGGACAGAGAAUAUAAAACCUUAACUACAACGUUUUAUACAUAAUAGCUUUGAAAAGAUAUAUUGGAAUGAGAAUCUAGAGGCAGGAACAAUUAGUAGAACUCUGAAAUCCCAACUUACACGCUAUUAGUAAAUAAAUAUAUUGGUUGAAAAUAUAAACCAAUAAUAGCACAGUGGUUAACAAAUCCAACUAGGAAUCAUGAGGUUGAGGGUUUGAUCCUUGGCCUUGCUCAGUGGGUUAAGGAUCUGGCGUUGCCGUGAGCUGUGGUGUAGGUCACAGACACGGCUUAGAUCCCACGUUGCUGUGGCUCUGGCGUAGGCCAGCAACUACAGCUCCCAUUGGACCCCUAGCCUGGGAACCUCCAUAUGCGGUGGGAAGGGGCCCUAGAAAAGGCAAAGAGACCAAAAAAAAAAAAAAAAAAAAGAAAGAAAAUAUAAACCAUUCUUAACAUAGUUCUGAAAACUAUUUUAUUUGAAAGAAGCCUUCUGGAUUUCCCUGGUGGCACAUCAGGUUAACAAUCAGGCAAUGUCACUGCUAUUGUGGAGGCUGUGGCUCCCGUCUGAUCCCUGGCCUGGGAACUUCCACAUGCCUCAGGCGAGGCCCAAAGGAGAGAAAAGAGAAAAAAAAAAAAAAAGCAGCAGCAGCAUUCUCAGUUAUUAUACCUGAAUUUGAUUAUUAAGGGGAGAGAAAGCCUUCAUAAAGGAAACAAUAUAAUUAAGGACCAUAUAAAGAAAUGCCACAGGAGUUCCUGCUGUGGCGUAAGGGAAACGAAUCUGACUAGGAACCAUGAGGUUGCAGGUUCAUUUGAUCCCUGGCCUCGCUCAGUGGGUUAAGGAUCCAGCAUUGCAUAGGUCACACAUGCGGCUCAGAUCUGGCGUGGCUGUGGCUUAGGCUAGCAGCUUGCAGUUCUGAUUCAACCCCUAACCUGGAAAUCUACAUAUGCCACGGGGGUGCAGCCCUAAAAAGCAGAAAAAAAAAAAAAAAGGAAAUGCUACAAUAGGUGUGGGGUGGGGCAACCCCCAAAAGUCAAUAAAUAUCCAAGGUUGAUUUAAUGUUAGUAAUAUUCAUGGGGGGAAACGCUUAUUAACAUUAAACACGUUUGGAAUUCAGCCAACCAGGGGCUUAUUUUGUCGGAAUAUUUGUAACUCCUCCCCUCUAUAAAAUCAUGAGGUAUAUAAGAUCAGAUAUUCCGAGGUCAAAAUUCUAGGCCAAACCCCACAAACUCAGUUGCUGACAAGAAUAAAAGUGAUCACCACCCUGCUUUUAAGAUUCAGAUCAUGGAGAAAGAUACUUUUGAGAGAGAGCAUAUAAAAACAUACGUUGAAAGCUCUCCAAGAGCCAAUAAAUGUUUUCUCAUACAAUAGUUCAUUACUCAUAAUGAGAUACAUAACCAUUACAUAAUUGCAUUACUGUAGAUGCCAUUAUUAUGGAAAAACAAUCACAUGAAGGUAUUCGGGCCAAAAAUAUUACUUAAAAAUUCAAUUUACGGAACCAGCGAACAUGAACAGGAGCAAGGGACUCCUGAAUCCUUAUGCUGAAGAUUUCAAAUAAAUGUAUCAACAAUAGCUCCCUCUGUCCUGGCUCCAGCCCUACCUUUCAGUUUUCUCAACUUGCCUUUCUACAAGCUUUCCCUUAAUGCCUUAAUGCUAGGCAAUAAAAAGGCAUUCAUUAUGCUCCCAGCGUUGCUCUUGUUUGCCCUAGUUUCGGAAUUUUAACUAAGUCUGGGUCCCACAGUGAAACCGGUUCUCGGAACUGCGACCACGGCGCAGACAGCCU